rnacentral:lncRNA from 12 species
CGGGGACCUGGGGCGGGGAUCAGCUUUCAAAACAAAAUUCUUCAGACACUCUCACCAGGGUUUUGUCUGUAGGGUUUUUUUUGGGGGGGGGGGGCGGGGGGGAACCGUGACUUUUUCAAACUAAAAAAAGGAUGUGAACCAGCAAAAUUGCUUCCUUCCGCGUCCACCCGCCCGCGCUCUUCGGGGCUCCCCCGCGCCCUGCGGGGCCUCGGGUGAAAACCAAUCCCACCCUAAGGGUUAAAAAUAAGGGGAAAAGUUGGAAAUUUGGGGUAAUGAGUCCAAUAAAGGAAAAAACGGGGAAAACUGGAAAGCCUUCUUGGCCGCAAAACCUUCUCCGAAAGGUUUAUCAGUGAUACCCGGGAUAUUUUGAUCCUCAAGCACACGCGUACACAGUGGUGCCAACCGCAGACCAGGGGUAGGACAAAGGGGACAAGGACUGGAAGCCCCGCAAGAAACCUGUGAUCCCGGACUCAGAACCCGGCCCCGGGGCUCUGAUGAAGGCCUGUGGGCCCACCUGUCUCCCGCCCUCCUCGGGGGGUCUGCUGCCCCUGCUGCCCUCCCAGCUUCGGGAAACCCUGGGCCGUGGGGGUCUCCCUGGGGCGGCAGGGGCAAAACGGGGGGAGCCCUCCCCGAGCUGAAGCCGACAGCGUCCUGCGCGGCAUCAAGAGGCCAGGGAGCCCCGCGACGAUGUCCUCUCUUGGGAGCCGCCCCGUCUGAGCAGAAGACAACCUCUUUUUCAGCGAACGCAGACUCUCCAGAAUUUCCCACUAAACUGAUAAAAGGACUACAUGGAAUGUGGAACAGUGACAAGCAGCAGCAUGGCUGAACCUCACAGACAUAUGGUCGAAUGAAAGAAGCAAGACACAAAUGAGUGCAUGGGGCAUGCUUCCAUUUACACGAAGCUCAACACCAAGCAAAAUGAAAACUAAUCUCUGGGGAUGGAGAUCAGAAGAGUGGUCACUCCUGGCCUGCUGACUGAGACGGACCACCAAGAGGCUUCUGGGUGCUAGAAUGCUCCAUAGCUUGGUCUGGGGGAUGGUUAUACAGAGCAUGAUGUGAGAGGUCACAAAGCUGUGUGUGUAAGACCCAGACGCUUCAUGAAUGUCAACAUACCUCAACAAAAAAUGUUCUCAAGAUAGAAUGAUACAUCCUAUAUAGUGUAUUUGCUUCCUAUUGCUGCUGUGACAAAUUAGCACAGACUUAGUGGCUUAAAGCAACACAGGCCUGUUAUCUUGCAAGAGGUCAGAAGUUUACCACCAAAGGACCUCAGCAGUGCUAAGUUCCUUCUGGAGGCUUCAGGGGAGAAUCUGCCUCCCGUACCUCUUACGGCUUCUAGAAGCUGCCUUCAUGCUGUGACUAACAACCCUUUCUCAUGUCAUUCCAACCUCUUGCUUCUGCCAUCACAUCUCCUACUACUGCACCUUUUACUACCUGAUCCCUCUCUGGUAAGGACCCUUGUGACAACUUUGGGUCCACCCAGAUAAUCCAGAAUAAACCCUUCAUCUCAAAAUCCUUGAUUUAAUCG